CGCGUUAUAUAUGUGUUUUGUUUUUGUUUUGCAGUGAAAUACGCGUAUUUAACAUGUUGUUGACGUUUAAAUUCACGUGUUUUUGACCCUUUUGGCCUUCCAUAAGGGGAUUCCCGUGAGGGAAGUGCUUAGAGAAGUUUGUGAGUACAGCCAAGUUGAAGAAGAUGGUUUCAGGAUUUGAAAACAUUCACAAACCAGUUCCGUGAAUCAAACCCAUCACUUACACUUACUAGACAUUAAACUAUGGAGGAAUGUGAGCUGAGCAACAGUCCUAGACAUGAAGAACAGGUCAAACUGAAGAAAGAUAAGAAUAAUGUGGAGCAAACACGUACGGAUCUGGGUCCUUGUGUAUGCGGUUAUGACUGCUGUGUUUGUUUCCAAACCUGUGAUUGUCCUGGAUGCUGUGAUUGUCCUGGAUGUGAUUGUCCUGGAUGUGAUUGUCCUGGAUGUGAUUUUUCUGGAUGUGAUUUUUCUGUAUUCUGUGAUUGUUUUCCAUCCUGCUGUGUGGGAUCCAUUUGGGAAUGUUUUUGUCAGGCAAGUAACAAUUAGUUACACUUUAACAUUAACUAAAAAAAACUUUUAAAAAAAAGAUUCCCUAACAAAGGGCUGUUUUCUGAAUUGCUCUCACGAUUGAAAAACUUUAAUCAUCCAUGUUUAUUACUAUAAAAUCGCAAUGUGUCAAACAUGCUUUCAUUUGGAUUAAGUCGCAAGAGAUGUGACUAAUAUACAGAUAUUAUAAUGUUAAUAAUGCAUCUUUCAGAUCCUUUUGGAUCCAGGGACUUGGAUGGAUUUCUAGUGACGCCACAGAAGUCAGAAGAAAACAUCCGAUACGAAGCCAACAAACAAACAUUGGGAAGUCUUCAUGAAAUAUCAUAAUGGAAUGAUUAUUAAACUUCACAAAGAUGUUGUUGUUAUCUGUACAUUUACAAAAAUGCAACUGUAAAAUACGCUAAAACAAAUCCAACAAAAGUUGAACUUCUUCUGCAGUAAUGUCUGAUUGUAGCUUUAAAUACAAACUGCUCGAGAGUGAAGAGAAACUAAAAUGCACCAGCAUAAAAACAAGUCUCUUGAGAUUGUUGAGCCACAGAGUUUGAUGAUGUGGUUUGAAAAAUGUCAUCCGUUUUGGUUUCGUUUGGAGAAUGUUUAAUCUAAACCAGAUUUUGUUCGGUUUCAGGCAGAAGGAGAAUAGUUAAGAUAAUAAAUUAAGCAGAUGUUGUGAAGGUUUGGUCUUU
ensembl:lncRNA